CGCCCCUUUAAGGCGCGGCUGGGCCGGGCCGGGCGCGCUCACCUUGGGCCCGCGGAGGCGCGCGGCCGCGCGGCUGCCGGCAGCGAGGAGCGUCAUGGCGGCGCGGGGCGGAGCGGACGGAGCGGGCGCGGGACCGGGACCGGGACCGGAGCGAACGGCGGCGGCGGCGGCGCCCGGGGGUCCUCGGCGCGGCGGGCGGGGCGAGGCGCGGCGCCGCGUACGUUAUUAGCAUAGCCCCGCCCCCGCCCGCCCCCCUCGGGGUUGAGCCGUUCGCUAUUGGCCGAGCCCGGUCCCGAUGGGGGCGGGGCUACGCAAAUGAGGCUACGGGGGGGGCCGGGCUAUAGGUGGCCUCCGCGUUCGCCUGAUCUGGGCGUGGGGUGCGGUGAUGCGAGCCCCGCCCCGUGACGUCACCGACUCGCCGUGACGUCACCGGAUCGCCGCGUGACGUCAUCCCUCCAUAUCGGGGCUCCCCCCCCCCUCUCUCCCAACGCGUGCCCUCCUUAUUGCUCGGCUGUGGCUCAGGGCUGCUGUGUUGUCACCACGCGGCGCUCACCCCAUGACACUGCCCUGCACUGCGGUGACAUCGGAGGACACGGGGGGGGGAGGGGGGGGCAGAGUGCCCAAUAACCCGGGGCCAUUGUCCUGGUGACCCCACGGUGGCACCACGCGACAAGUGGGUGGGCCCCCCCACAGCACCCAGGGGCUGCCUGCAGGGACGGGGUGUGAUGGGGGCACCGGGGCAGAGACAGCACCGAGCUACGUAAGGAAGAGCAGUCUGUGGUCAAAGGGCACUACAGGGCCACCAUCAGUCCUGUGGGUAUGUGCCCUCCCUGCCCCAGCCCCACACCCGCCCCCAUUGAGGUUCACAGCAGCGACACCAGCCCACAUUGGGCCCCGUUUAUUGCCUCCUGGAUUGGGCCCCAGGUGCCCAACAGACCCCCAGCAGCACCGCUGUCCCUAUAGCAGCCCCAGGCAGCAGCAGAGAGAGCCUGGAGCCACACAUCAGCCACCGGAACGGCCCCAACCAAAGGACGCAUCCCUGCCCGCAUGGCAGCAGAUGGACAGCGAAUAAAUAGGACGGGAGAAUCCAGAAUCCCCCCGCCCACAGUGGGGAUGGGGCCGAGGCUGUGGGGCAGCGUGGUGUUGGUGGGGGGUCGGCGCAGCCCGGGGCCGGCGGCGUCACAGCUCAUCAUGCGGGAGGUGCAGCGCGUGGUCACACAGAUCCGUCCUCUUGCUGCACAGCCGGUCCUUGACGUUGUCGGCCUCGUGGGACAGGAACUCAAUGAGCUCAUCCUCGUACUCCUCAGCGAUGCUCUCACACGCAAACUUGAGGCUGGAGGCCACGUCGCCGUCGAUUUUGACCCCGGACAGGUCCAGUUUGGUCCCGUCGUGGGAGAUGACCCUCACGUAGCUCUUCCGCUGCGUGGUCGGGUCCGCCUUCUCGCCGUACUCCUUCAUCUUCUCGCAGAUGCGCUCCAGCAGCUCCGUCAGGUGCGCCUCCGAGCGGGCGUACGGCACCUCCACCACCGAUUGGCUGCCGUCGGGGUUGAUGCGGAACGAACCCAUCUGGAUGGUUUUCCGGGGGUCGACCUGGGCGAUCUCCCACUCCAGCUCGUCCACCAGCGCCCGGCACGCCGCCGGGCCCCGCUCGAGCCCCCGUCCGCCACCGCCGCCCCCCGGUCCCGCCGUCCCCGGGGCUGCCCGUCGCGGUGCCUGUCCCGCCGCUCUCCCUCCGGCCGCUCAACGGCGGAGAACGGCCCCUUCCAGAGGGCGGCGGUGGAGGCCGCCGGGGCGCUGGUGGCCGCCGUAGGGGUCGAGGCCGCUCCUCGGAGCGCCGCCGGGCCGCCCCGCACGCAGGCAGCGCCUCGGCCACCCCGCGGCGGGGAGAGGCCCCGAACUGGCAGGACCCGGCCCGCGUGGCGGU
rnacentral:lncRNA from 1 species